UGAGGCGAUGGCGGGAAUCGUUCCGCUCGAUCAUCCCCCGGGAAGUUUUUCCUGCAUGAAGGCCUGCAAUCGUGUAGUGCCGGCGAUGUUAUUUGUUGGAUUGUUUUGGAGAUGGUGAGUUUGGUUCGCAAUCAUGUUCGGGUGUGAUUUUUCUGUGAUAGCAUGGCCUUUUUGAAGGUGAAGGUGAAGGUGAAGGUGAAGGUGAAGGGGAAGAUAAAGUGACAUUUGUCUGAUCUCUUUCAAGAAAGGUGCAUGAGAAUUUGAAGUUCUUUUCCGUCUUGAAGGAAGUCGGAUCCAUGAGAUCGUCAAUUGGAAUUCACAAACUAGCAGCUGAGCUGAGCAAGAAAAAAUAAUAUCUGCUGUCAAAAUGCUCAAAGACAUAAUGAAGAUUGCCAAAUGUCUCAAACUCAGUUGCUUGAGUCUUGGGGACACUCCCAAGGCCAAGACCAUUCAUGUUAUUGGCCAUUAAGGUUCUGGGGAGGAGCUUUACCAAGAAUCAGCCAUAAAAGGUGCGGAUAUAAUAUCUAUAUGGAGAGCCAGCCUACAAAGGAGGUAUCUUUCUUAAUCUUUACUCCACCAAAUUUAUUAUGUUCUUGAUUGGCUUUUUACUAUUGAAACAUAAAUGACAUUUGCCCACUAUAAUAGCUACACUCUUAGAUAGUGGUAACUCUCUACUUCUGGUACACUUUAAUAGAGUUGAUAGUGGGGAAAAGCACCUAUAUUCUACAUCAUUAAUAAUUCGGCUGCUGCAUUUGGCCAUACCCUUAUCUAAGACUCUGUACUUCAUAGUUUAUACCACCUGUAACUACAACUUGUGACUGAAUAAUAUCAGAAGAAGAAGAACUUAAACAGGAUAGGCAUGGGAUCGUCAGCCCCUUCUUUUACCCAGCCUCUCCACGCUCCUCACACAAAGUGAUAUAUAUAUAUAUACACUAUAUGUAUAUAUAUGUGAUAUAUACACAUUGUGUUUGUGUAUAUAUACAAAGUGUGUAUUAGAGAGGGCUAGGAAGGGGGCUGGGCAGAUGGGGCCGACGAUCCCAUGCCUAUAAGAUAGGAAAGAAAACUCUGCAUCAUUUUUUAUUGUGCCAAGCAAGAAAUACUUGAUAGAUUUGCUGUAGGACACAGAUAGAUACACAAAGGAAGUAUGUAUUUAUCCCACCACUCUCUUUGUAACACGCGCCAAUAAGUUUUUUAUAACGUGAGAACCUACCAACCAUUUUGGAUAAAUUCCCUGCCGAACAUAAUAGUCUGUUAAUGUGUCCAUAAGUUAAAGAGACGAAAUGAAAUUAACAACAACCAUAUUUGAAACUAUUUUGUUGCUCACUUUUAAAUAGUUACACUUUUUUUUUCUUUUCUUUAUUGCUGUUUCCUCUUAGCUUGUUAGAACAAUUGAAUGGCAGCCUCUAUGGUAAUGAUAGGGGCAUCUCUUCCAUAUUUAUUUCACUCUAAUUGCUCCUACACCAUUUUACAUCUAGGCAGGGAUUUUUUUUAUUUUUUUUUCUAAAAUUGAUUCAUAGAAAUUGUAUAUAUUUGUAUUUAUGUAUGUACAAUAUACUUCCUUCUCUCUCAAAUAAUAGUUAUAUUUACUGCUUGUUUGUUUAUUAAAUAAUAAUAAUAAUAUUUUAUAUUUAGUAGAUGGGGUGGUGUAACUUUAUAUAGAUAAAUUCUUUUGGAUUGUAAAAAUUUAUGUCUAGUAAAGGACCGUAUGUUGAAAAGAGAUAUUUCAUAAUAUGUUAGUAUAUUUAUGUGAAAGGCCCUGUUCACCUUGUUUGUUUUGUAUUUUGAUUUAAUUUUUUUUUAUGAAAUAAUUAUUAAAUUUAACAUUUUAUAUAAAAAAAUGAUAUUAUAAUAUAAAAAUAUAAUAUUAUAUAAUAGAUAAACUAAAAAAAAAAAAAAAAAAAAAAAAAAACACAGAA